ensembl:snRNA U1 U1 spliceosomal RNA
UUAUUGGCUCUGCGGAGUGAUACUGUGAUGAUCAAAGCUGCCAGGUAAUUUGCACCCCGGAUGUGCUGACUGACACCUGUGAUUUCCCCAAAUGUGGAAAACUCGGUUGCAUAAUUUGUGGUAAUGGGGCACUGUGUUCGUACCUUCCGG